GGAGGCGCAAUUUUGUCAUUAUUAGUGUGUUUAAUGAAAUCCUUAGGGUUUCAUCUUCGUCUUCAUUCGAACUGUUUUUUGUGUUUGGGUGUGUGUUCGGCCGAGAGACUCUCUCUCGUCCGGCAAACUUUGUUCGAUGUUUUUCGGUGUCGUUCGGCGGUGUCCGGUGGUUUCUCUUGUUGUAACCCUAGUAGAAACACGCGACUUCCUCUUUUCGAGACAUAGACCUGAGCUUUAGCUCGAUGACCAAACUCGUAUCUCGCUCGUGUCGAUUCUCUUUCUGUUCUUUGAUGCAAACGAGUGUCGGAGUGAAAUCAGUGAGAGAUCGAAGUCGAAAAUCCACUACAAGUUUGUGGAUCUUGUGGUCGAGGUGUCUGUGGAUCCCUGUUUAGGAUCUGAACAUGCUAACGUGUUUCCGAGGUGUUUCAGAGGUAGAAACGGCGAAAAGGUGUCGUCUCCAGCCGAGAUCGACGAUGCUACACAAGCGGGGGAGCUCAGAUCGACGGGGAAAAGAACGACAAAGUUCGGAUCGAACUCGGACUGAGUAAAUCAGUCGAGUUACGAGUCUGCACAGGUUUUGUUGAAGAAGGUGGAGAUUUGUGGAGUCUUCCGUUUAACCCACUGGGUCGGGUAGAAGGUCCCAAAGCCUCUGAACGAAGUGGAGGAUCUCAUAUGGAUGGAGAGACAAUUCCGUCAUUGUCAGCAUAUUUAAUGAAACCCUUAGGGUUUCGUCUUCGUCUUCAUUCGAACUGUUUUUUGCAUUUGGGUGUGUGUUCGGUGAGCUUUCCUCGGUAUUUUCCAGUCCCGCUCGACGGUGUCUGGUGGUUCCUCUUGUUGUAAUCCUAGCAGAAACACGCGGUUUCUUCUUUUCGAGACGUAAGUCCGAGCUUUAGUUCGGUGACCGAACUCGUA